GAAUGCUGUGCAUACACACUGACGUAGACACGAGGGCAUUAGUUGCGGGCUAUAUAACAGAGGCUCAGUUGCAGACCAUAGUAUUCCUGCUCGAAACCCCCGUGCAAUAGAUAGAGAUAGAGGAAAGGGUGUGUGCUGUAGUAAAACAAAGAUGCGUCGUCUUUUAAUCGUGCUGUUGGCCGUCACCUGUCUGUUGGAUGUCAGUCUCGGCAGCCCGAUCUAUCUCGAGGCCAAUAGCAGACAUAAGAAUCCUUAUUUUUCAUUAUAUCACCAGGGUUAUUAUCCUCAUCACGAUCCACGGUACUAUUAUUUUGCACCGCAGCCAGGAUACCACUACCUUCAGCGUCGACACUCGAGCUGGCCGAGACCCUACGUAUUCGAUGAUUUCCUCGGGGGAUGAUGGACAGAGGCGUUGGUUCGAGUCCGCAUCAUUGACUUUACUUGUGGUUGUUUUUGUUGUUGUUAAUGUUAAUGUUGAUGUUUUUUUGUUGUUGUUUUUUGGUUUUGUUUUGUUUUUGAGUUGUUUGUUAUUUCAUCGAUUGAAUAAUUUAUCAUAUUUUGAUCCAUAUGUUUUAUUACUUUGUCUCUUUGAUUCAAUGUCUCUUUUUGUGUAUUUAGUUUGUCCCUCUGUUUAACAUCUAGUCGUCUAAUUUAUUGAUCUGCCUAUUUGGGUAUUUUAUGAUUUUUAUAUCUAAAAAUAAUAGCUAUUUGUUGCCAUGUACUUUUUUAUAUAUCAUCAUCUUUAUAUAUCGUAUUUACCUAAAUAUUUAUCCUAAGACAUGAUCUUUAUAACUUUAUUUGUCUUCAUAUUAAAGAGUUUGAUGUU